UACGUAGGGGUCCGAGCGUUGUCCGGAAUUACUGGGCGUAAAGGGCGCGUAGGCGGCCACCUAAGUCAGACGUGAAAUCCCUCGGCUCAACCGGGGGAACUGCGUCUGAUACUGGGGUGGCUUGAAUUCGGGGAGAGGGAUGCGGAAUUCCAGGUGUAGCGGUGAAAUGCGUAGAUAUCUGGAGGAACACCGGUGGCGAAGGCGGCAUCCUGGACCGAGAUUGACGCUGAGGCGCGAAAGCCAGGGGAGCAAACGGG
rnacentral:rRNA from 1 species